rnacentral:tRNA from 1 species
GGGCCUGUAGCUCAGUUGGUAGAGCACCGCGUUUACACCGCGGUGGUCGUCGGUUCGAGCCCGGCCGGGCCUACCA